UUGUUGACUGUGCAGUCUAAAAAACACACUGUCUUUUCUUUUCGUGUGUAACAGCCAAGAUGAUCUGCUUUACACUUACAAUUCGUGUUGACUAAAUCCGAGCAAGUCUCCUUCCAGUUCCACCAUAAGUAACACACUGCAGGAGCUCCAGGUCUACAAAAUGAAGUUCGAAACCAUAUAGCUCUACUCAGCAAAGAGUCGUCUCUUCUAUUUGAUUGUAAUAGAAUGUAAAUAUUGUAAUAGUAGGCAUAUCUGGGUUGUAAUAACUAUGUACAGAUUGUAGUAGACUUAGUUAGUUUUAUUUGAUGAACUACAUUUGUACUGUUCUGUUUGAAAUAUUGAUUAUGUACGUGAUUUGAAAACGUGUGGAAUGGAAACCUAACUUGUGGGAUUCACUUAUGAAAA